GGAAGUAAAGUCGUAACAAGGUUUCCGUAGGUGAACCUGCGGAAGGAUCAUUACAUUAUACAUAAACACCCGCCGCAAGGUGGGGGUCUACACCCUCUGUCUACUGUACCUCUUGUUGUUUCCUCGGCGGGCUUGCCCGCCGCUAGGAACACCUUAAACCCUUGCAUCUCAAGUAUACAAAACUCCGAUAACUAUUUAAUUAUCACAACUUUCAACAAUGGAUCUCUUGGUUCUGGCAUCGAUGAAGAACGCAGCGAAAUGCGAAAAGUAGUGUGAAUUGCAGAAUUCCGUGAAUCAUCGAAUCUUUGAACGCACAUUGCGCCCCUCGGUAUUCCGUGGGGCAUGCCUGUUCGAGCGUCAUUUACACCCUCAAGCUCUGCUUGGUGUUGGGCGUCUGUCCCGCCUCUGUGCGUGGACUCGCCCCAAAGUCAUUGGCAGCGGUCGUGCCAGCUUCUCGUGCAGCACAUUGCGCUUCUCGAAGCUCCGGUGGAUCCGCAUCCAGCAAGCCUUCUAUAAUUUGACCUCGGAUCAGGUAGGGAUACCCGCUGAACUUAAGCAUAUCAAUAAGCGGAGGA
rnacentral:rRNA from 2 species